AGCCCAUAAUACACCACUAGGUUGGAGAUCAAUUUAUUUGGCUAAAUUCAGUAAUACUCUUACCUUCAAAGUUUCAAUAUGAUUAUUAUGCUAAAAAAAACCCCAUCAUGUACAAACUAUUUGCUCACUCAGAGAAGAACAAUUAUGAAGGAAAGCUAGAACAGCUGUUGGAAGUCUUUCCCACAUAUUGACCUGAUUAGCAAUUGACUGUAAAUUGCAUUGCUGAGCAAAUAAGGGGAUAUGAUUAUCCCAAUCAUCAUAACCACUAAUAAUGCUAGCCAAAGCCAUACUAUCAGACGGAUUCUGGAAAGCAUAGUCCAAAAUAGUCAUGUUUGCUAUCAUGGCUCACAUAUGUAGAUGUGUUCUAUAAUACUAUGUCCCCUGGUGAUUUUGUUUGUUUUGGAUAGACAAUGAAGACAAUAAAUACAACCACUUUGUGUCCUG
rnacentral:lncRNA from 11 species